rnacentral:rRNA from 1 species
GACGAACGCUGGCGGCGUGCUUAACACAUGCAAGUCGAACGGUGAAGCGAGUGCUUGCACUCGUGGAUCAGUGGCGAACGGGUGAGUAACACGUGAGUAACCUGCCCAUCACUCUGGGAUAAGCACUGGAAACGGUGUCUAAUACUGGAUACGACCAACCCUUGCAUGGGGUGUUGGUGGAAAGAUUUAUCGGUGAUGGAUGGACUCGCGGCCUAUCAGCUUGUUGGCGGGGUAAUGGCCCACCAAGGCGACGACGGGUAGCCGGCCUGAGAGGGUGACCGGCCACCCUGGGACUGAGAGACGGCCCAGACUCGUACGGGAGGCAGCAGUGGGGAAUAUUGCACAAUGGGCGAAAGCCUGAUGCAGCGACGCCGCGUGAGGGAUGACGGCCUUCGGGUUGUAAACCUCUUUCAGCAGGGAAGAAGCGAAAGUGACGGUACCUGCAGAAGAAGCACCGGCUAACUACGUG